rnacentral:rRNA from 1 species
UACAGGGGGUGCAAACGUUGCUCGGAAUUAUUGGGCGUAAAGCGCGUGUAGGCGGCUACUUAAGUCGGAUGUGAAAGCCCUUGGCUCAACUGAGGAAGUGCACCCGAAACUGAGUGGCUAGAGUACGAAAGAGGGUCGCGGAAUUCCCGGUGUAGAGGUGAAAUGCGUAGAUAUCGGGAGGAGCACCAGUGGCGAAGGCGGCUUCCUGGGCCAGUACUGACACUGAGGCGCGACAGCGUGGGGAGCAAACAGG